rnacentral:rRNA from 1 species
UACAUAUAAAACAAACAUUGUUCGGAAUUACUGGGCAUAAAGGGUGCGUAGGUGGCUUGUUAAGUCGGGGGUGAAAGUUUUCGGCCCAACCGGAAAAUGGCCUUUGAUACUGGCGAGCUCGAGUGCGUGAGGGGUAACCGGAACGAGCAGUGUAGCGGUGAAAUGCGUAGAUAUUGCUCGGAAGGCCAACGGCGAAGGCAGGUUACUGGUGCGCAACUGACACUGAGGCACGAAAGCGUGGGGAGCAAACAGG